UUCAGUGUCAGUAGCAUUCGUCCAGGCGAGGAACACGUGGAAGCCGCCCAGCCCACUCCAGCCCAGCACAGCCAUAUUAUUACAUCACUUCUCCCGUCUACUUUGCAAGUUUGAGUCCUAUAGGGAGACGACUUGGUGGGUGUGCUCGGUGGUAGAGGCUGUUACUGAAAGGUGGGAGUGAUGUGGCAGUCUGGCAGAUGUGGGAAGGCAUCGCUGGUGGAAGGUAUGUGAAGAAUCUCUACCCAAUCAUCAGGGAGGAGUGAAAUAACCCGGUGCUUGUUAUAAAGUCACCCGAUCCCCACAGUGAACAGAAGCAAGCGCUACUCGGACGACGAAUUUCGAACCCACAUUGUGAAUUAUUUCGGACUCAGGUUGUUUUCCUUGGCUGCAGAGAUCUAUGUUGGAAUCCAUUAGUGUUUAUUUCCCAUUGACUGUACAGAUGCUACAUUAAACUGUUAUCAGCAGUAUGAAAA